UAUUCUGGAUGAUCAAGCCCAUCUACGUACGGUGGAUUCCUAUCCUGUCAUCUGCCUUCAUUUGGAUUUGCAUCAAGCUGGCAGCUUCCUGCUCUCUUCGUCUCCUGAGCCAAGCCACAAGCGUACCCUGUCCACCCUCCAACGUAAACCACCGCACAUCGAACUAAUUCCUUUGUUCUGAGCUCACACAGAACAGCACUAAGUGAACUCUCUACAGAUAUCCCUGCUGGAUAUCCCUACCUGGAUCCUGAGUCUAAUUCCACCUGGCGACCUGUCCACCAUUACUCAUGAGAUUUUCGUCCAUUUCGAUCCUGAUUUCAUCAUCAAUAAAACAGUGUUUAUUUUA